UAUUGAAAUAAACCUGAUGGGUUGCUGCUGGUUCUUUAGAGAGCAUGUGCACACUUGUCAUUUUUUAUACCUCUUCACCUGUGCACCUUUUGUAGACCCUGGAUAUCUUUCUGAGUGCCCUGGCAUUCAGGUAUGAGGAUUGAAUUCUUUCCUUACAUUUUCAAGGUCUAUGUUUUUUCAUAUACCCAAAUUGUAUGUUUAUAGAAUGUAAUAAAAAUGGACAUAUUUUUGUGUCUAUAAAUUUUUAUACAACUUUCAGCAACGGAUCUCUUGGCUCUCGCAUCGAUGAAGAACGCAGCGAAAUGCGAUAAGUAAUGUGAAUUGCAGAAUUCAGUGAAUCAUCGAAUCUUUGAACGCACCUUGCGCUUCUUGGUAUUCCGAGGAGCAUGCCUGUUUGAGUGUCAUUAAUUAUUUCAACCUUUCUUAGCUUGCUGAGUGGGUUGGAUGUGGGGGUUAGCUGGACACAUUUUUUUUUUUGAGAUCAGCUCCUCUAAAAUGCAUUAGCGAAACAAUUUGUUGUUGAUCGUUCAUUGGUGUGAUAAUCCAUCAACGCUAUUGAAUGUGAAACAGGUUUAGCUUCUAACCAGUCUAUUAUCUUGGACAAACCCUUUAUUAUUGAUGUG
rnacentral:misc_RNA from 1 species